rnacentral:rRNA from 1 species
CCCCUAGAUGUUCUGGGCCGCACGCGCGCUACACUGAACAGUUCAACAAGACUUAACCUUGGCCGAUAGGUCUGGGUAAUCUUUGAACGCUGUUCGUGAUUGGGAUAGACCUUUGCAAUUAUGGGUCUUCAACGAGGAAUUCCUAGUAAACGCAAGUCAUCAGCUUGCAUUGAUUACGUCCCUGCCCUUUGUACACACCGCCCGUCGCACCUACCGAUUGAAUGGUCCGGUGAAGCCUCCGGAUUGGCGCGCACCUCGGUGCCGCCGAGAAGUUGGCUAAACCUUACCAUUUAGAGGAAGGUGAAGUCGUAACA